AUCCAGCUGACAGGUCCCAAAUAGAAUGAAACGUACGUCCUGGAU
rnacentral:hammerhead_ribozyme from 1 species